GUUCGAUUUGGGCUGAAUUUUUAUGUGUCAACAGCAAGCUUGGAUGUGCUGUCCCCAGUAGUUUUGAAAAGUGCGGACGUGUAGCCUGAAGGAAAAGAUUGAAUAUACUUCCCUUUCCCUCGCAAGUGCCUCAUCUCACUACUUGUUGCCUUGUCGGCAAAAGACUGAAAUGGAAUAUUGUUGCGUUGUCUACAAAUUAGUUAAUUAUUGUUGUACUUUUUGAAUUGUUGCCUUGUCGAUUUAAUGAACUGCUGCUAUUGUUAUUGGCUUUGAAUUUUAGCCCAAGCGCCCAAAAUUCCUGGAUCCAUCCCUGCUUGUGCACUUAUUGAGAAGCCAUCUUUCUUGAGCGAAAACUGAGAUCCUAUCUCAAGAAAAUAUGUAUUUAUUUUUUUUUUGAGCCACAAAUUGCAACUACCCACCACCUUGCAUUCCCCCCUUCGUCUUGCAAUCUUGCAUAUGAAGACAUCUUUUGAAAGAUCAUCAAUUUUCGAGGUAAAAUUCAAUGACGGUACAAGAAAUUGAAGGACGAAGCAAAA